rnacentral:lncRNA from 1 species
CUCCAAGCUGCAGCCAGAAUUAUUUUUUUUUAAAGAAAAUACAAUUUUGUAGCUCUCUUCCAUAAAACCUUUCAAAGCUGCGCUGCUUAAUGCAGUAGUCAUUAGCCACGUGUGACUAUUUAGAUUUAAAUUAAUUAAAAUGAAAUAAAAUUAAACAUUCAGUUCCUCCAUUGCACUAGCCACAUUUCAAAUGUUCAAUAGUCAUGCAGCUAAUAUAGGACAGCCCAGAUGACAGAACACAGAAACUUUUCAUAGGAUAAUGCUGCCUCAAAAGCUUCCCAUUGCAUUUGGAUAAAGCCAAAAUUCUUUGCGAGGUCUACAUGGCCAACCUGAUUAAAUCUGAGCUCCUUUUCCAAACUUCUUGCCUGUCUCUUCCUCCACCAUCACCAACUCCAGGCACACUGGGCUUCUUCUCAUUUCCUCACACAAACCAAGGUCUUUGCUCUCUCAGGGCCUGACUUAAGGUGCUCCAUCUGCCUUGAACAUUUCCCCCAUUCCCUGUCUCACUAACUCCCACUCACCUUUCAGACUUCAACUUAAACAUCACUUCCCCCAAAAGGCCUUUCUUACCUCCCCAAACCAAAUAAUUAGACUAUUAUUAUAACCUGUUUUUGCAUCCUCUUUUUCUUCUUUUGUGUUAUUUAUCGUACCCACAAUGGUGAUAUAUUUAUUUGGUGAUAUUUAAUAUAUAUCUCUCUAACACGGUUAGGAGAGAGACCCUAAUUUUUUGUUCACCAUUGUAUCUCUGUUACCGAACCAAACUUGGAUCCACUCACUCAGCACGCAGAAAAAGGCAAACAACAAUACUAGGAUUUGCAGUGAGAGAAAUUGAGAUGUUUAUUGCAGGGUACUAAGCAAGGAGAAGUGGGCAGCUAACACCAUCUGAACUCCUCAAUGGAUUAUAAGGGAGGGUUUUUAAAGGCAGAGUUACGUUUUAGGAAAAUAGAAGUUACAGGCAAAAUCAUGAAUCAAUACAGGGAGAUUAUAUAUUGCUUUGGCCUAGAAAGGCAGGAUAUCUUGAAGCAGGGGCUUACAGUUCAGAGUGAGAGGUAAAGCUGGCUGGGCUUCUGGGUCGGGUGGGGACUUGGAGAACUUUUCUGUCUAGCUAAAGGAUUGUAAACUCACCAAUCAGCACUCUGUAAAAACGGACUGGUCAGCACUCUGCAAGAUGGACCAAUCAACACUGUAAAAUGGACCAGUCAGCAGGACGUGGGCGGGGCCAAAUAAGGGAAUAAAAGCUGGCCACCUGGGGGAGCAGCGGCAAGCAGCUUAGGUGCCUUUCCACGAUGUGGAAGCUUUGUUCUUAGCAAUAAAUCUUGCUGCUGCUUAUUCUUUGGGUCUGCACUACCUUUAUGACUGUAACACUCACCGCGAAGGUCUGCAGCUUCACUCCUGCAGUCAGCGAGACCAGCAACCCACCGGGAGGAGCAAAGCGUGCCAGAAGUGUGCCACGUUUAAGAGCUGUAACACUCACUGCGAAAGUCUGCGGCUUCAUUCCUGAAGUCAGCAAGACCAUGAACCCACCAGGAGGAAGGAACAACUCUGCACGUGCCAUCUUUGAGAGCUGUAACAUUCACUGAGAAGGUCUGCAGCUUCACUCCUGAAGUCAGCAAGACCAAGGACCCAUCAGAAGAAAAAAACUUGGGACACAUCUGAACAUCUGAAGGAACAAACUCCCGACACACCAUCUUUAAGAACUGUAACACUCACCACGAGGGUCCGCGGCUUCAUUCUUGAAGUCAGCGAGACCAAGAACCCACGGAAGGAACCAAUUCCGGACACAAGAGGUAGAUUUAGAGAUUUUUUUUAUUUGCAAUUGGUUAAGGAAGUAAGACUUUGUAUAAAACCUUGAGGCAAGCAGAAAGGAAUGUUAAGGUUUGGCCUGUGGGCAUGACUCUCCAGGCCUCUCAAAAAGAAAUUGCAACAGAGGACAGUAGUCAGAAUCUAAGUCCUCAGUUUUUGCUUAUCUCUGGUCUUUGUGUCAGUGGUCAGAAUUUUUCAUCUGGUGGAGGUGUGGGGGUCCUGGUUUCUGAAAAACAACUCAGGGACAUAUAUCCAGAUGUUAUCUUUAGCUUUUAUAGGGAACCAAACAUCUUGUGAAUCUGGCUUCCUUGGGUGGCUAUUGUUUACAUUAUUAUUCUUUUUGUUUAGUGGGUUCUUUAUUUGCUUUUUAAAUUGCUAGUUGGCCGGCUAUCUAGGUGCUUAGAAUUUGUGUUGAGGGGAUCAGAGAGGAGCCCGACAGGCCCAUAAGAGGGGUCCCUGUUCCAUCUCAUCUCUAGUGCCUAGCAUAGCACCUGGCACAAAAAACCACUCAAAGAUUAUUUAAUGAAUGAAAAAAAGAGUGAUUUUAUAGCUAUCUAAUACUGUAAUCUACAGGCUUUUGCAGGAAUUCGGCUGUGUGUGAUGUGAGUAGCAGAAAUCAGGAAAAACGGUUUUCAACGCAUCUUUCUACUUUACCGCUUCUUAACUCUGAGUCCCUGUCUUCAAGGAAAUAUUUUCUAUUGAGGCAGUCCAAGAAAAGGCAUUUUCUCUAGUCUUUUGACUUCAUAAUCCAGUAUCAGUUCCUCAUCUGUGAAAUGGGAAUACGUUCUCACUGCCUCAUGACUGGAGCUGUACUAGCAGAUCUCCUGAGAGCCAUUCCUGUUCCAAUAUAUAAUAGUAUGACCCUGUCUAGGGGAGGCUGGUUCCCCCCACUGGCAAAUUUGAAACUUAAGUAGCCUACUACAGAGGCUAAUUGCACAGGAAAUGUAAUUCCCAGAUCAUCAACUUCCUCCCUUCUCAUGUUUCUGCUACUAGGCUGCCAUUAACACUUAGCUUGAAAAUGGCCUAAUAGUAUCAAGAAAGAAAAGAGAACAAGAAGAAACCGAAUACCUGAAACACCCGUAAUCUGGAUCAUGUGCUAUCAAAAAGGGAUAGUUGAUGUUGCUCACCAGAGAGCAGGCGUGAAUUGGAGUCAUUGCCACACAACCUGAUGGGUAAAAUUAACCAUCUCUCUUGCCACGAAUCCCUCUCCACAGGAGAGAGAAGACUCAUCGGUCUCCUACUUAGAUUCAUAAAACAGUAGAGCUGGAGGGGACAUUAGCAGUUCUCAUGUCCAAGCAUGAAUGUUCGCAUUUGCAGAAGCGAGCCAGGCUCUCAGGACACCAUCCCGGGUCUCCACACUUGCAGCUCAGAGCAUUGCCACAGCACCAGGUAACAGGUGGUGAGAGCUGAGUUCAUAUUGUGUUUCUUUAUUGCCUCCCAGACCCAAGGUUGCCCCAUCAAGAGUGACAGGCUAGGUGUAUGCGAUCACGAUGCUGUCAUACAGGUGUCAGAAGGAAGCUUCCAUCUACAUUCACCCUGAGGGCCUGACAUUUGAGUCUUGCUUUAGAUCAAAUCAGAGAGUCAGAGGUGCUCCAUUCUUAAACCACGUGCCUACAUCAGGCCAUGAGUCAGUAAGACCUCUCAUACUCUAGGACUGAUUCUUUCAUUCCAAAUGAGUGAGGGCACAGGAUUACCAUUCCAUCAUAAAUUUCCUCCAUCUUGGCAUAUUUAAUGCAGAGACCAAGUCCUUUCCUCUAUGCCUUCAAGACUCUGUCUUGAUCCAGGUCCCAGGGCAGGAAAGUGGCUCUCUUAUAUCACCAUAUCCAUCCAACAGGAACUGGACAAUUGCAAUUCAGCCGGUCUCCCACUUGCAGAAAGAAUAGCUGACAAAAAGACAUGUCAUUCUUUUUCUGCCUCUCCUGGGUGAAUCAAGUUAGGCAUUGGGGCUGGGGAAAGGAAUAGCUGGAGUAUGGGGAAAUAAAAAUUGGAAUAACUUCCCUACUGAGGUCUCAUUCAGACUGCAAACAAUACUGAUACAGCACAGAAAAUUAUUAAAGUUCCAGAGUACCCAAAAUAUGGUUUGGAAAUCAUGAAAGGAGGACCACAGAUCAGAGUUUCCAGAGGUGAAAAGUCACUGAUGAACCAUUCUCCUCUGUCUCCCCACACCCGUCUCUCUCUCAUACACCUGAAGUUACUUUCACAGUACGCUAAAAACCUAGAAAAUGGCUGCUCCAAUGAAGAAUUCUGAGCAUUUUCUCAAAAGAAAUACAUUGGGAUUCAUGAGUUAUUCAGAAGAAGUAAGAAGAUUAAAUUAAUGUGGCCAACACAAAUUCUGUUCUACCUGCCAAGGUCAUGAGUUAUAAACAGACAAGUUGCAUCCUUUAUUCUGCUACAUAAACAGUGGCUUCUCUCCAGAUUUCCUGCUGUUGGCUUCUGAGAACCAUUGCCUGGGCUGCCAGCAGGGCUGCUAAUUGGAUAGUUGAGCAGGUUUUUUCCUAAAAGUCAGGACAACAUGGUGAAACUGGGCACAUUGCCGCAGCUCCCCUAGCAUCCUUUUGGAAAGCUUGCUCUUCUUCGCAUAAAUGAAACUUGCAAGGCAUAGUAGACAGAAGGCUGAAGGUCAAAUGAUAAAUUCUGAGUGCUAAAACAUGCUUUACUAACUCAACUUCCAUGUCCCACUGUGCCUCUGCUUAUACAAGGCAAAGCUCUGGGGGUAAAGAGCAAAGAUGCACAGACUCAGAGAGAGAUGCAGGUUGCGGUCAAGAUUGAGGGAAAAAUGGUCACUGGCUGGGGACUAGUUACUAUUGGUUGAACAUCUACAAUGUGCCAGGUAUAGAUAGAUGGAAAGGUAGAUAGGUGGAUAAAUAUAGAGACAGAGAUAGAUAGAAGAUACGUAUAGACAGCUAAAUAUAGCUAGCUAGAUAUAGAUAGAUGAUAGAUAAUAGAGAGGGAUAGCUAGAUGAUAGAUAGUGAUAGAUGAUAGAUAAAUGAUAGAGAUAGUAGAAAGAUAUAGAUGAUAGAUGAUAGAUAUUUAGUUUCACAUAUAAUGUGUAUAGAUAUGUGUGUAUAGGCACAUAUGCUUGUAUAUGCAUAUGUAUCUUAAAGAUAUAUAUAGAUAGAUAGAUAUAGAUAGAUAGAUAUCUUUCCUUUACUGAUGAGAAAAUCAAAGCUCAGAAACGUUGAAUAAGUGUAUUGGUUUGUUCCCAAAACAACUUGAGACAAAGACUUGAGCACAGGUAGUUUAUGUGGAGGUGACCCCAAUAAGUGAGAGAGAGGGGGUGGGAAGAGUGAUACAAAAGAAGGAAGAGUCAACACAAACCACAUCAUUGAGCUGACCAUUGCUGUGGGCAGCUAGGCUCAAUCCCACUGGAUACUCUCUAGGAAACAGUGUAGAAUAUGCUUCAGAAUUGCCCCUUCAAAGGAUGAGAAGCCAGGCAUCAAUCCCCUGCAUUUCUGGGCUGCACCCGUGUGAUACUGUAAUUUACAAUAAGAGAUGUAUACAUAUAUUGGUCUUCUUCCAUGAUUCCUGACACAGAGCUUCCAGAAUUCUCUCUUAAACCUUAAGAAUUUCUGGCAUGGGGAAAAUGUUGAAUUGUCUCCACUAAGGCUUGACAUCUUCCCCAAGGCAAGAACCUGUGGGAAUGGGCUACAGGAUGGUUGCCUAGAAAGUCCAGGCUGUCCUGACACUGCUUAUGCCCAAACCCAGAAAAAUAACACAACAGAGCGCAAAGAGUAUGAGAUCUGGAGUUGGGCAGGUCACUCUAGCACGUUUCUGUGGCCUGGCAUCAUUUCCACUCAGCCCACCUGUGAUUUCAGCUGCAGUUACGGAGAAAAGUUCCAUACACAUGAGCGUUUCCCUCAAAGGCCAGCUGAAUCUUAACCUAUCAGCUUCCCUGCCUCAGAUCUUCUCCAAAGGUGGGGAUCCUCUCUCAGUUCACAUGCAGGUUAUGUGAUAGAAAAUCAAAUCAAUUACAGAGUAAGAAAAACAUUUUUUCCUACUACUGUAUACUCUCAACACAACUCUUCUGUGACCAGAUGUGUGGGGCUUUUCCCUGACACUAACCAAUUAUCCAACACCAGCUGGAUGACCUAGAAUUCAGUUCAAUUCUGAUGCUGUCUACCUGGAGUUACAGUCAGAUUCUACGGAUUGAGGACCCAGUCCCACAAGACUGGCCCUCACUUUGGAUGCCAAAUACCAGCCUGGGCCUCCUGGUUAUAAAUUGGGGUUCCCGUGACUUCCUCCUUGGGUUCAAUGAUCAUUUGCUAGAAUAGCUCAUAGAAUUCAGAAAAACAUUUCCUUAUGUUUGCCAGUUUAUUAUAAAGAAUAUUACAGAGGAUACAGAUGAGCAGCCAGAUGAAGAUAUAUAUAUAUAUAUAUAGGGUAAGGUAUAUAAGAAGGGUGAGGAGCUUCCAUGCCUUCUCCAGGUGCCUUCUACAUGUUCAGCAAUGUGGAAGCUCACCGGACCCCACCAUUCAGGGACUUUUAUGGAGGUUGCAUCACAUUAGCAUGAUUGAUCAUUAUCUCAAUCUCCAGCCCCUCUUCCUUUCCAGAGGAUGGAGGAUGGAGCUGAAAGUUCCAAGAUUCUAUCAUGGCUUGGUCUUUCUGGUGACCAGCCCUCAACCAGAAACCCACCAGCAGUCACCUUGGUAUAACAAAAUAUGUUCCCAUCACUCAGGAAAUUCCAAGGGACUGGGAGCUCUAUGUCAGGAACCAGAAUGAAAGACCAAAUACUAGAACAGAAGAUGCACCUAGCACCCCUCUCUGCUUAGGAAAUUGUAAGGUUUUAGGAACUCUGUGCCAGGAAUCAGGGAUGAAGAGAUAUAUACAUGUAAAAUAUGUAUUAUAUAUAUUAUAUAUGUAAAAUAUGUAUACCAUAGAUAAUAUAUGUAUGCAAUACAUGUACAUUAAUAUUUAUAUACAUAUAUGUAUAUGUAAAAUAUAUAUAACAUAUAAUAAAAUAUAUAUUAUAUAUAUAUUGGUCACAAUAUAAGGUCUUUUGAGAGACACUAUGUGCACAAGUAAUGAGCUAUCUAUAAGAUGUUCCGUAAGCCCAGGGUGAAUGACAGAAAGUCAUAAUGGGAAUGUCUGCACCAGAUGGUGAAUUAGACUUAGAUAUUAAAGGAAAUUCCAGGGCCCUCAACAGAUUGAGUGGUGCCCACCCACAUUAGUGAGAGCAAUAUUCUUUACCCAGUCGACUGAUAUAAGUGCUAAUCUCUUCCAGAAACAGCCUCACACACACACACACCCAGAAAUAACAUUUUACCAUCUCUUUGGGCAUCCCUUAGUCCAGUUAAAUUGACACAAAAUUAACAUCUCAGUGGCUGAAAACAACCAACACUUAUUUAACACACAGUUCUGCAGGCUGACCAUUUAAGGUGGGCUCAGCAGGAUGGGUCUUCUGUCUUGAAGGUCACUCAUGCAGGUCAUGCUGGGUUGGUUCAUCUCUGCUCCAUAUUGUCUCUUAUCCUCCAGCAGACUAGCCUGGGCUCAUUCUCAUGGAAGUUAGCAGGGUUCCAAAGACAGCAUGAAAGUCUGCAAGGUCUCCUGAGGCUUAGGCUUAGAAUUGGCACAGUGUCACUUCUACCACAUUCUGUUGGUUAAAUCAAGUCCCAAGGCCAGCCCAGACUUAAGGAAGGGGAAAAGAUAUUACCCACUGACCUUUUCAUGAAAGAAUAUGUAAAUUCUUAAUUUUAGAAUUGACAUGCAUGAUUAUCUUGUGCAAUUCCUUCAUUUUAUAAGUGAGGAAAUGAGAUUCAGAGUGAAUGCUUAACUCAUUCAAGAUCACACAGCUUGUUAGUGGAUAUACCUGCUUCCAUCUAGUGAGCUGACCCAACCAGACCAUAUGGUAAAGUAAUGAAACUAGUGAAACUACCCAUCAAGGAGUGCAAGAUGAGUCAUUUGUGCUGAGAAUAAUGAAAAUUUGUUUCAUCCCCUUGCCCAGGGUAAGUCAUGAAAAAUUGCCCAGCCCACACUUCAAGCCACAUUACUGCAAUAUUCCCUCAGUGAAUCUAUUCUUUAUUGAGAAUUAAAUGAUUUAUAGCACAAAGCCCGUAAUUACAGGCAUCUUUUAAAGAUCUUUUCAAGACAAAUGGCACAGGUAUUGAAAUAUUCUGCUAUGAGCCAAUUUGGGUUUUUCAAAACAGGAAAAGGACACAAGGGACAGAAAUUUUUAGUAAAGUUGUCAUUUUUAGUUAAUAUACCAAGAAGAAUGUAGCAGUUCAUUGCAUGCAAUUCAUCACUGUUCUUUCAUAUACAUUUUGAUGAGCUUUCUUAAAUUCUCUUGGUAAAUCACAAAUAUUAUGGGCUUUUUAUUAAAACUUGGGAGCAACUAAGCAUAAAAUGAAAUAUGACUAGUUUCCAAGCCUGGCAUUACCAUUAAUAGGAACAUUUCACCAAUGCAGGUUGCACUUGUAGAUUUUGCUGAGUUAUAUUUUUAUACUUCACAGUUCUGAUUUGGGAUAAGGAAAAAAAAACAAGCUACCCAUUAGGCAGAGUACAUAAUUCAUAACAAGAAACAACAAGGAUCCUUUAUAUGUGCUAUUCUGCAGAGACUACAGUCCUCAGCCACUGUCUGUACCUAACCUCAGGGCUGAAAAGGAGUGUGUAAGCAGUUUAUUAAACAUGUUUGCCUUUUCUUUACAUUUAAAUUUUACCUGGCACUUGAAUUCUCGUGGUUAAAGAUUAACACAAUAUAAACAAACUUGUGAGUAAUGUCCACCUCCAUAUUUCCACCCCCAGCCACCUCCAGUGCCACUUACCUCUCAAGAUGUCUUCAUUUAUGACACAGCAUACAAAGGCUUUUUAAACUUUACAUAAGUGGCAUUCUUUUCUACAUUUUUGCACUUAAAUUCACUUUUUACAUUGAAUCAUAUGUCUCAGAGAUCUUUCCAUAUUGUCACAUAUAGAUGCACAUCUUUUUAAAUGCUACAUGGUAUUUCGUAGUAUAAAAGUAUCAUAAUUUGACUCCCCUCUGUUGGUGGGCCUAUGGAUUAUUUCUGAUUUUUUUAUUACAACUAGUAUUACAGUGAAUAUUCAUGUGUGUCUGUGUGUGUGUAUGUGUGUGUGUGUGUGUGAGAUUGUGCUAAUGCUUAUUUCUAUAGUAUAACUCCUAGAAAUAGAAUUGCUUAGUUAGGGAAAUAGGCAUGCUAAGUUUCAAUAGGCUUUGUCCAAUUGUGUUUCGAAAAGGCUGCACAAAUCAUGUUUUGUGUUCAAUGCAGACCAGAUGGGGUUUGGAAAGCCCUGGAGUCAGACAGAUAGAGUUCAUAUUCAGCCUCCACCACUUCCUAAGUGAUGACGUGGGAAGUUAUUCAAGCUAUUUAUGCCUCAAUUUCCCCACUGCAAACAUAGGACUAAUGCAUGUGCUUAAAGAGUCUGGAGAGUUUUUAAUGAUAGUGAGUUUAAAUGGAAGUGCCUGGUCUAUGAUGGGUUUUCCCAAAAGUAAUAAUCUAAUGUUCAAACAUUCGUACGAAUUAAAAUCCCCUGUUUGCAGCACAGAUUCUAAAGCACCAUCCUCAGAGAUGUGACUGGGAUGAUCAGAAAUACGGCCCUGAGUGUCACACUUUUUAACAAGUUUGCCAGAAGAUUCUUUGAGAAUCACCUCUUUACUAGGUAAGUCUCAAAUCCACUGAUGACUCCUUCCUCCUGAAUGGAAUCCUACUUAAUGCAGACAAACAGACCACGUCCUCCCCUUAUUUCGAACUGUCUCUGUCCUUUGCAGUGUAAGAGUUAGAGUGAACGGGAGAGGAGCAGGGAUGGACAUAGCUAUGUAUAUAAUUUGUUAACCAGCCCUUUGAACUCCAUGGGCUAUGAGUUAUUUUUUGCUUUGAGGCAGAGAAAAUUUUACAUAAUAAGUUUAUAACAAUCAUAAUUGCUCUUGGAAAGAAAUAGUCCCG